rfam:Stegodyphus mimosarum contig50926, whole genome shotgun sequence.
GCCUUCGUGGUGUAAUGGUCAGCACACUGAGCCGGUAUUUCAGAGGUCCGUGGUUCGAUCCCCGGCGAAUGCA